GACGAACGCUGGCGGCGUGCCUAAUACAUGCCAGUUGAGCGCUGAAGGUUGGUACUUGUACCAACUGGAUGAGCAGCGAACGGGUGAGUAACGCGUGGGGAAUCUGCCUUUGAGCGGGGGACAACAUUUGGAAACGAAUGCUAAUACCGCAUAAAAACUUUAAACACAAGUUUUAAGUUUGAAAGAUGCAAUUGCAUCACUCAAAGAUGAUCCCGCGUUGUAUUAGCUAGUUGGUGAGGUAAAGGCUCACCAAGGCGAUGAUACCUAGCCGACCUGAGAGGGUGAUCGGCCACAUUGGGACUGAGACACGGCCCAAACUCCUACGGGAGGCAGCAGUAGGGAAUCUUCGGCAAUGGACGAAAGUCUGACCGAGCAACGCCGCGUGAGUGAAGAAGGUUUUCGGAUCGUAAAACUCUGUUGGUAGAGAAGAACGUUGGUGAGAGUGGAAAGCUCAUCAAGUGACGGUAACUACCCAGAAAGGGACGGCUAACUACGUG
rnacentral:rRNA from 1 species